rnacentral:rRNA from 1 species
GAUGAACGCUGGCGGCGUGCCUAAUACAUGCAAGUCGAGCGAACAGACGAGGAGCUUUCUCCUCUGACGUUAGCGGCUGACGGGUGAGUAACACGUGGAUAACCUACCUAUAAGUCUGGGAUAACUUCGGGAAACCGGAGCUAAUACCGGGUAAUAUAUUAAACCGCAUGGGUCCAUAGUGAAAGACGGUUUUGCUGUCAAUUAUAGAUGGAUCCGCGCCACCUUAGCUAGUUGGUAAGGUAACGGCUUACAAAGGCGACGAUGCGUAGCCGACCUGAGAGGGUGAUCGGCCACACUGGAACUGAGACACGGUCCAGACUCCUACGGGAGGAAGCAGUAGGGAAUCUUCCGCAAUGGGCGAAAGCCUGACGGAGCAACGCCGCGUGAGUGAUGAAGGUCUUCGGAUCGUAAAACUCUGUUAUUAGGGAAGAACAAAUGUGUAAGUAACUAUGCACGUCUUGACGGUACCUAAUCAGAAAGCCACGGCUAACUACGUG